UGAAUCAUCAAAAUCAGAAACAUGUUAGUAUAAAUUAAAAUUAAAAUUGGAGAAGAUGGCUUACUUUCUUUUUUCCGACACAAACUCAAUGACAAACACCACAUCUUUGAACAUUUCCGGGACUUUGAACUUGGCCAGGUUUACUAUGAUGGUUGUGGCUUUGUCCCGUGUCAUCCAAACUCAACUGCUUUGGGCUUGAUUGUCUCAUGCACAACCUCUUGGAUGUAUUCUUGAUAUGCUUCAACCACUUCAUUUUCUUGAAUCCCUUUU
rnacentral:lncRNA from 1 species